rnacentral:sRNA from 1 species
AGCAGAGGCAGGUGUGGCCCCAGGGAUUAGCACUGGGGGACCGGAUGGGGGAGGGAGGCCUCACUUUGUUCUAUGUGAGCAGCUUCCUCGGCCAUCGUGGGACUGAUUGAGACCACGCGAGGGCUCCUCCCGGGGGCAGGUAAUCGCAACUACAGCACCCGCCCAAUUCCACCCCAUCCAGGGUCCUUCGCUGCUUUCCUUUUUUGCCCUCUGUUCUGGGCUCUGCCCUCCCACCUGAACCCUGCUCCUCUGAGAAGUCUUGGCUGAGUCCCAGGCUGAGCCUUCUCUGGGUUCCCACUUCCCAUGCUGAUUCCCACCCUGCUCCCUCCAUCCUGGCAGGAGGGACUCAGAGGCUGCCCCGUUGUCUGGGGGUGGCCCUGGCGAAAGAGCUCAUCUUCACGGGCCGACGACUGAGUGGAACAGAGGCCCACGCACUGGGGCUGGUGAAUCACGCUGUGGCCCAGAACGAGGAGGGGGACGCCGCCUACCAGCGGGCACGAGCACUGGCCCAGGAGAUCCUGCCCCAGGCCCCCAUUGCUGUGCGGCUGGGCAAAGUAGCCAUUGACCGAGGAAUAGAGGUGGACAUUGUAUCCGGGAUGGCCAUUGAAGGGAUGUGCUAUGCCCAGAACAUUCCAACCCGGGACCGGCUAGAGGGCAUGGCAGCCUUCAGGGAGAAGCGGCCCCCCAAAUUUGUUGGCAAAUGACCCCCAUUUUAACCUUCAGCAUGGGAGAUGCAUGCCCUGAAGAGCAGGAUCCAGAAGGAAGAUUUGUGGCCGAAUUUACUUCAUCAUUUCACCUCUCCAGGCUUCCGUUUCUUCACAAGGAUGAUGAUGGAGAUAAAAUGACUGGCGUGAUGCCUGGAACCAAGGUGCUGAUCCUACCACCUACUGCUACCUUCCUUAGCUUCACCCUGGCUAGAAAUAAUCACGAGGGUUGGGUUUGCUUUGGAAAAUGCCGUCUCUCUACUUGAAUGAUAAAGAAUUA